GAAACGACUGCUAAGACUGGAUAGGAAACAAAAAGGCAUCUUUUUGUUUUUAAAAGACCUUCUUAUGAAGGUAUGCUUAAAGAGGGGCUUGCGCCACAUUAGUUAGUUGGUAGGGUAAAAGCCUACCAAGACGAUGAUGUGUAGCUGGACUGAGAGGUUGAACAGCCACAUUGGGACUGAGACACGGCCCAAACUCCUACGGGAGGCAGCAGUAGGGAAUUUUCGGCAAUGGAGGAAACUCUGACCGAGCAACGCCGCGUGAACGAUGAAGUAUUUCGGUAUGUAAAGUUCUUUUAUUGAAGAAGAAAAAGUAGUGGAAAAACUAUAUUGACGUUAUUCAAUGAAUAAGCCCCGGCUAACUAUGUGCCAGCAGCCGCGGUAAGACAUAGGGGGCGAGCGUUAUCCGGAAUUAUUGGGCGUAAAGGGUGCGUAGGCUGUUAGAUAAGUCUAUAAUUUAAUUUCAGUGCUUAACGCUGUCUUGUUAUAGAAACUGUCUUGACUAGAGUGAGAUAGAGGCAAGCGGAAUUCCAUGUGUAGCGGUAAAAUGUGUAAAUAUAUGGAGGAACACCAGAAGCGUAGGCGGCUUGCUGGGUCUUUACUGACGCUGAGGCACGAAAGCGUGGGUAGCAAACAGGAUUAGAUACCCUGGUAGUCCACGCCGUAAACGAUGAGUACUAAGUGUCGGGGUAAAACUCGGUACUGAAGUUAACACAUUAAGUACUCCGCCUGAGUAGUACGUACGCAAGUAUGAAACUUAAAGGAAUUGACGGGACUCCGCACAAGCGGUGGAUCAUGUUGUUUAAUUCGAAGAUACACGAAAAAUCUUACCAGGUCUUGACAUACUCUGCAAAGCUAUAGAAAUAUAGUGGAGGUUAUCAGGGAUACAGGUGGUGCAUGGUUGUCGUCAGUUCGUGUCGUGAGAUGUUAGGUUAAGUCCUAAAACGAGCGCAACCCUUGUCGUUAAUUGCCAGCACGUAAUGGUGGGGACUUUAGCGAGACUGCCAAUUAAACAUUGGGGGAAGGUGAGGAUUACGUCAAAUCAUCAUGCCCCUUAUGAUCUGGGCUACAAACGUGAUACAAUGGCUGUGACAAAGAGUAGCUGAAACGCGAGUUUUUAGCCAAUCUCAAAAAAGCAGUCUCAGUUCGGAUUGAAGUCUGUAACUCGACUUCAUGAAGUUGGAAUCGCUAGUAAUCGCGAAUCAGCAUGCCGCGGUGAAUACGUUCACGGGGUUUGUACACACCGCCCGUCA
rnacentral:rRNA from 1 species